GCUAUCCCGACUAACGGAGGGACUGACUCCACGGAGGGUGUAAGACCCGUGUGGGCGCGUGUUAAAGCUGAUUGGGGUUGGCCUCUUUUCCCUGAGAGUCGCGUUGCUCUGGCAUGCAGCGCUAAGCAGGUCGUAAACUCGAUCUAAGGCUAAAUAUUUCCACAGGCCCGAUAGCGAACAAGUACCGUGAGGGAAAGUUGAAAAGCACUCUGAAGAGAGAGUCAAAAGACCGUGAAACCGCUCAGAGUAUAAGCCCAUGGAGCUCGGAAGGCAUACCGCAGUCCUAUAACAAGGUCGGCUUGCAUGAAUGGUCCGUCAGGCAGUGGCAUUGAGUUGAUAACACGCUGACGUGCGGGGGAGGACACUGGUCGCGUAGACGGGCUUAGGCCAGUUUUGCACGGCCAGCUACUCCCUUGAGCACGGACGUUCAAGGGUGCUUGCCGUAUGCGGAAACGCCCACCACGUCUCGUUGCGUGGUCACCCACAGGCUCGACUGUCGAUCGCGUGUUCACCUCGUUCGCAAAGAUGUGUCGAUGGCUGUCCCUGGCCCCCCCUCUAGGGGUCGGGACCGACACUUGCGUUCGAGGCUACUUUUUU
rnacentral:rRNA from 1 species